rnacentral:lncRNA from 1 species
UCAAAAGUUGUGUGGCAUAAGUUGUUGGGUGGUAAACCCCAAAAAAAAGUAUUAGGGACAAAUGUCUCACAUCGAAAGUUGGAAGAGAUCCUUAGUAAUAUAUAAGAUAGAUGAGACAAUCCACUUAUCACCAAUUGGUUUUAGGUUGGAAGCAUUUCUAGCUUAACAUUGUAUCAGAGCUCGAUCCAAACAGUCCAACCCGAUCCAUAUUGAUCUAGCCCAAAGUUGACCCAUUGAUCCUUGCCCGAGCAUUCCAAGAUUGACGCUCAAAGAGCCAUCAUCUCGAGGGGC